GUGCGCGCCGUAAACGAAUGCUGUGUGUCGAACGCCGGGACAGUGAAAACAUUUCACUGGCGUUCUCUCCUACUAACCAGCCAGAGUCAGUAUUCGAAUAUUUCAGUGGUUCCCAAAAGUUAUUGCUAAACGAAGUCGAUCGAUAUUGGAACGAUGUCCCGAGGAAAAAAAAACAAAAUAAUCGAACCGUCCGAAGUCUGAACGUUAGACUGUUGGACUAUUAUAAAUAAUGUUAUCGAUGUAAUAAUAUAAAGAACUAAACGGUAAACAGACGAAUACAGUGGUGCCGAUAAGAGAAGAGAAUAAUAUCAGUCACCACCGCGAAACAAACGGUGACUAUCAUUUUGAUUAUCAGCGUUUUAAAAUUCUGUAAACACUAAACGCUUAACACGAUUUUUAUUUUUUACCAAUCUA